GCAAAGAAACCCUGACACUGCGCUAACAAACUUUUGGAAAGGAUCAACCAAGGUCUAAAAGCGGCUCACAAACUAAGGGGACUGGAACAACACACAGGGAUACCUCCCUUUGCCUGGUAUACCAACAAAUGAACCCAUAUGGACCCAAAUGUAAAACACAGCAUACUCCGGGGGACCCCACAGACACAACUCCACUCAUUAUGUGAGAUUCAGAUUCACGAGACAGACC